AUUGAACGCUGGCGGCAGGCCUAACACAUGCAAGUCGAGCGGAGCGGCGGACGGGUGAGUAAUGCCUAGGAAUCUAACCGGUACUGGGGGAUAACGUCCGGAAUCGGGCGCUAAUACCGCAUACUAUCAGAUGAGCCUAGGUGGGAUUAGCUAGUUGGUGGGGUAGAGGCCUACCAAGGCGACGAUCCGGAACUGGUCUGAGAGGAUGAUCAGGCACACUGGAACUGAGACACGGUCCAGACGCCUACGGGACGCAGCGGUGGGGAAUAUUGGGCAAUGGGCGAAAGCCUGAUCCAGCCAUGCCGCGUGUGUGAAGAAGGUCUUCGGAUUGUAAAGCACGUUAAGUUGGGAGGCGUUACCAACAGAAUAAGCACCGGCUAACUUCGUGCCAGCAGCCGCGGUAAUAC
rnacentral:rRNA from 1 species